GCAGUAUGUCUGUUAAAUGGUAAUGCAGGUAUCCCAAGACAAGCUCAGCAUGGACAGAAACCACACAUUGAGCACAAAGGCAAAAGCUUGCUUCAUCUCGAUUUUCAGUAUAUAUGUGUAUAUAUGU
rnacentral:ncRNA from 1 species